CCAGCUCUCACUUCCAUACAUCACUACUGGGAAAACCAUAGCUUUAACUAUAUGGACCUUUGUUGGCAAGGUGAUGUCUCUGCUUUUUAAGGGUCAUCCUGUUACCCUAACCAAUACCUGUUUGUAAUGCAGUUUGGAGGGCAUGAAGAAAGGAAGACCUGUGGUCUCACUCCCACAGUGCCCAACUGCCGUUUCCCAACUGUCGCUGUGCCCUGCCUGGAAUGUUCUGGCCCACACAGGUGACUCUGAGGACCGUGAACAUCCUGCAUGUCUGAGUCUCUCAUCUCAGUGCUUCGCUUGCUUCACCUUGCCUGAGCUGCUUGUUUGGGUGGAGGGUUGCCUCCCAUGUGUGAAAAGGAGGGAACGAAGGCCAUGGUGGCAAGAAGAGGACCUCCACGCCGUCGGCUUCGCCUGCUGAAGCUUGCUUUCGUGUUUCUGUUGUUGUUGCUCCCCUCCUUUUCUCAGGGGCUGCCUCUGGAAAUCCAUGUUUUGUGAAUAAAAUGUGUCUGUUAAGAAGAAGGACGGUGCACUUGAAGAGGGAAACCAGAGAUGCACCAGCAGAGUCAGAGACUGAGUAUGAUAACACUUCAUCUGUCCCAGAAGACCUCUCAGCUUCGGAUAACCAGAUAACUGGAGCAGAAGAAAGAACUGUUCCAGCGUACAUUCUUAUUUAUUCAAACAGUUUAAUUCUAAAUUGUUUGACUGAAAAGCUGUUAAUUGAGGGAAUCAUGGAUCCCAAAUACGUAUGGUCUGGUCCCCGAGGACAAAUUA